AUUGAACGCUGGCGGCAGGCCUAACACAUGCAAGUCGAGCGGAUGAAGGGAGCUUGCUCCUGGAUUCAGCGGCGGACGGGUGAGUAAUGCCUAUGAGUCUGCCUGGCAGUGGGGGAUGACGUCCGGAAACGGGCGCUAAUACCGCAUACGUCCUGAUGGUGAAAGUGGGGGAUCUUCGGACCUCACCCUAUCAGAUGAGCCUAGGUCGGAUUAGCUAGUUGGUGGGGUAAAGGCCUACCAAGGCGACGAUCCGUAACUGGUCUGAGAGGAUGAUCAGUCACACUGGAACUGAGACACGGUCCAGACUCCUACGGGAGGCAGCAGUGGGGAAUAUUAGACAAUGGGCGAAAGCCUGAUCCAGCCAUGCCGCGUGUGUGGAGUAGGUCUUCGGAUUGUAAAGCACUUUAAGUUGGGAGGAAGGGCAGUAAGUUAAUACCUUGCUGUUUUGACGGUACCAACAGAAUAAGCACCGGCUAACUUCGUG
rnacentral:rRNA from 1 species